UUAUAUAUCUAUAUGUAUAGGUAUAUAUAUCUCCUAUAGGCUCUCUCUCUUUUUAUAUGGUCUCUAUUGGUGCCUAAUCCAGAGGCGGCUCAGGAAAGCUAACAUCCCAGAGUCAUCCGCCAAGGAAGAGGCAGUGCAGGCAUUCAGACCCAGGCCAGGUCAGCUCCAAAGUUAUGCUCUUGACCAAAUAGGACAGCGACCCUCUGACCCCGGACUCUGGGGGACUGAGUCAGACGAUGCCCCAGAUCCAAGUGUCUGAGGGCCCCUAACUCUGCAGAGGCCCCUCGAGGUGAGGACAGCAGGAAGGUAAGCGCACUUCGCUCUUUACGAAGCUGCACCAGAGAGCCUCUCCUCAGUCCCUCCCGUGCCACGGGGGCCGCAUGGAUUAUCACCUCUCAGGGGGAGAUUUGACGAGUCUGAUUUGGGUUUCUAGUUAAUCCUGACUACCUGCACUCCAGAUGCGGGGCUGGGAGACCCGGGAAACCUCAAUUCACGAGUCUCAGCGCCACCUACCGGUGAGUUGGUACACCCAAGGCAGAAAAGAGUCCUGUCUGCUCUCCCAGGCCACGAGGCCACGACGAAACUGCCAUUUCACAGAUUGGCAAACGGAGCUCGGAGCUCGCCCUCACCGCUUUCCCUCAAGUAAUCAUCUGGCGGAUGCAGGGCGCAGCACAAGGUGGUUACGGGGAAGCCAGUCCUCUUGGGAGGGACUGACACGCGAGGAGGGGAGAGGACCACGUAAAGACAGAGGCGGAGAGAGUCCAGCGGCCACACCAAAGGGAGACCAGGUGUUGUGGGGAAGGGGAGGCUUCACCGAGAGAUGGUGGUGAUGUGGGCUGAGGUUCUGAAAUUCUGGACGGUCUGCCAGGCUGACUGGAGGGGCUUGGGGGGGGGGGGGCAUUUGAUUCCAAAUGCAGAGCUCUUCCCCGAGCACAGCGGGACAGGUGCCAGGAAGGGCAUCUCAGCGAGCGAGAGAUGGGUCUGGCGGGUGCGAGUGGAGAGCAGGGUGAGAGGAAAGAUGAGCCGCACACACACACGGGGCAAACAGGCCAGGAAUCGGGCCCCAGCGUCGCACAGUGUGUGGGCCCAGAACGAGUUCCACCAUGAGGACCGUGCUCUGCCACACGCUAAGGAGUCCGGACGCAACCUCCGCAACGACUGGAGUCAUGAGGACGCGCUAAGCCAGGGAGUACAACGAUCCCACGUGUUUUGGAAAGACAGCCCUGCAGAGCGAGGACAGGGUGGGAGCAGGAGCGGGGCCAUCUCUUCGGGGAUCGUCAUCAGAGCGAGGGAUGCUACUCUCUGAACCCCGGCAGCAGCGGCAGGAACGAGAGGCCGGAAGAGACCAGAGGUCCGGGGACACCACUCGGUCGCGCUGGGUGACGAACCGGAGGUACGGGGAGAAGCCAGCGGGGCGACCAGAUGACCCCGCGGUUUCUGACCUGGCUGACCAUUCGUGGACUGGAAAUAAAAGGAGAUUUGGAUGAUGAGGUCGUUCCCGACGUGUCAGCUUAUGGGGUUCUCACACGUAGCGGCUCAGAAGCUGGUUAGAUGAGCGGAACAAAAGACCGGUGACUCCCGAGUUCGCGGCGAGUGAAGAGUCCCUCAAGGAGACGGAGGCCCUGACUGCGUCGUUCCUGCGUGGCCACGCGGCCAGACGCCCUCUAUUCGAGCCGCGAGAUGGCUGCUACACCCCAGCCCGGGACCCGCCUCAGACGUCCUCCUGGCCACCUGCCCUAUGCUACGGCGCAGAUGGCUUCUGGAUUCAGAACGAACACCUCGGCUCCGUCUCUAGAUCUUCCCACAAGCGGCGUGAUCUUGGAAAAGUCACGUUACCUCUGAGCCCACAUCGUCUGCUAAAACCUCACCUACUAAGAUUGUCACAAGAUCCAAUGGGAUGAGGUAUGAGAAGAGCCCUGUCCUGCUCAAAGUAUCUUCCUUAGGAACCAGCGAAAGUCCUUCUGAAGCCACAGAGCUUUCACAGCUACCAUUUGUCCUCCGGACUGCUCAACUCUUGGCACCCAGCGGUUUCGAGACACGAGAGAGAGAGCUUCCUGGAAGCCUCUCGAGAAGUACGGGUCAGACUUCCAGCCUGGUUGAUUCCAGUUCACUCAGAGGGUGUUGCUUUACGUGUCCCGAGACGAUUCCGAGGCACCACCGCUGGUGCCUACCGCAUGCUUAGCACUUUCUUGGCUGGUUCAGUCUGUCGCGUGUUAGAGACUUAGAUGUGAGUCCUCAAACCUUCAGAAGAGUAAGGGAGGCUAUCUGUCUCUAGCCAUGCCGCCACUGCGCGGAGGGUGAUGGAAUGCCUGUGUGCUGUGCCUUGGUUUCCAAAUCCUGUUUUAUGCUCUGGUAACACAGGUGGAUAAGGUUU